rnacentral:rRNA from 1 species
GACGAACGCUGGCGGCGUGCUUAACACAUGCAAGUCGAGCGGUAAGGCCCUUUCGGGGGUACGACGAGCGGCGAACGGGUGAGUAACACGUGGGUGACCUGCCCUCAGCUCUGGGAUAAGCCUGGGAAACCGGGUCUAAUACUGGAUAUGACUCCAUGACGCAUGUUGUGGGGUGGAAAGCCUUGUGCGGCUGAGGAUGGGCCC